ACGACGAGGGGUGGGAGAUUUCCUCACACGUAGCAGACGGGGGGGACUCGCUUCUUAUUUCAGUUAAACGUAAUACGCGUGCUUCGCGACAUCAAUUAACCUCUUUGUUUUGAUGCUGUGAACGAAGUGUUGUUGUAUAGAUAUAUUGCAUAGUUUAUCGGCUUUACCCAUCGUACAAAGUUUCUACGAUCUACGUACUUAUACGUGAUUCUUUAUGCAUCUCGGUUUCGUGUGCGCCAUUUUGUAUGUGAGUUUGUGUCAGAAAGCAAUGCCUGAUGAGGAUCUUUGGAGAAUCAUGUCGAUAACGGAGGAUACAGACAAGAAAUUAUGAACAUUAAAUGCGAUCUGAAUCUUCCGACCCACAGCAUACAUCUGCAUGCGUAACACAGGAAUCAAGCUGUAUAAUAUGUCAGACGUAGGUUUACUAUCAAAGGUAAUCUCGGGGAUCGUAGACGGGUUCACGGUAAUCGGUUUCCAUUGGUAUACGAAACACCUACAGCACUCUAGGACGGAGCACUAUUACCUACGAUGCUCUGACACCUGUAUGUAUAGCCGCCUGCACUUAACGCUAACGUUAAACCGUGUAAUGGAUCGACGAUACUGUUGCAAGAGUCCCUGCAGCUAUUUCGAGCCCUCGCACGCCCGAUUCCCUUUUCUGUAAAAUACACCGGCAACGUCAUUGAUUGGAAUCAAUCAUCGGUAGUUGCGUCCACCGCGUUGUACCAAAAAAAAAAAAAAAAGAAAAAAUGCCGCAGCCGAAAAAAAUCGAACUGUCACUGUUUCGCGGUGAAUAACUGUCUACGCAGGUGCGACGCGCCAGUACGUUUUCCCACGAGACUUUGCUUUUCCCUUCGCCGACGUUAGUCAACGCAGUUUUGUUGCAAAUUGUGCUGUUCCUUUCGCGCUCCACACUUUGUCCACAUUUUAGACUUUGAUUGUUUGGUGACAAAGAAAAGCCUGUUAAUUACGUCAAAUUAGCAGAUUGCUUGUUUAUUCUUUUUGAAUUUCACGUGAAAGUGGUCUUAAUGGCAUUUAGAUAUGAAAUAGGCCAAAUUUUCAAACAAAUGUUUACGAGUAAUGAAUGUAGUAAACUCUGAAAAACAAAUGUUCAGAAACAAUGAAUAUUGUUUGGGUUCCGAGGAGUACAUGGUGGACAGUGGAAAUCUUUUUCUCGAAAUGUUAAUAAUAUUAUUAGGUUGUUGGAAAAGUUUCUUUCGUUUCAUAAGGUGAUAAUAAAUGAACAACA